AUACGGAGGGUGCAAGCGUUACUCGGAAUCACUGGGCGUAAAGCGCGCGCAGGCGGCUAUUUAAGUUGGAUGUGAAAGCCUACGGCUCAACCGUAGAACUGCAUCCAAAACUAUUUAGCUAGAGUGUGGGAGAGGAAGAUGGAAUUAGUUGUGUAGGGGUAAAAUCCGUAGAGAUAACUAGGAAUACCAAAAGCGAAGGCAAUCUUCUGGAACACUACUGACGCUGAGGCGCGAAAGCGUGGGUAGCAAACGGGAGUAGAAACCCCAGUAGUCC
rnacentral:rRNA from 1 species